GGUCCUCUAGCUCAGCGGUAGAGCGCCUGCCCGACAUGCAGGAGGUCCGAGGGUCAGCACCUCGGGGGACCACCA
rnacentral:tRNA from 1 species